GUGAACUAGGUUCGAUUGGUAUGUUAUUGUUAUUACAUCUUACUCAUUAACAUAUGCAUAUAUAGUACAUAUUAUCGACAAAACCAAGAUGAAAUUUUUGGUGUUCUUCUUUAUAGUCCUGUUGGCAAUCCAGGGCAUCUUCGCUAGUGCUUCCAGGGAUAGUCCCAGUAGUGGGGGUUCAGGAGGCAGCAGCGGCGCAAAUGGGGGCAGAGGGGGGUCCAGCGGUAACAGAGGAGGCCCUAAUAAUGGGGGCCACGGAGCUGGUGAUCGCGGUGGAAACUCACGGAUAGCUUAGACGAUUUAUGUGAUUUUUUCUGAAUGUAAUUCAUUUUAUACAGAAUUUUUGAUGAUUUAAUAAAUAAAUUAAUUAUUGUAUUAUGAUA